UGCAGUCGAGCGGGGAAAAGUAGCUUGCUACUUUACCUAGCGGCGGACGGGUGAGUAAUGCUUAGGAAUCUGCCUAUUAGUGGGGGACAACAUUUCGAAAGGAAUGCUAAUACCGCAUACGUCCUACGGGAGAAAGCAGGGGACCUUCGGGCCUUGCGCUAAUAGAUGAGCCUAAGUCGGAUUAGCUAGUUGGUGGGGUAAAGGCCUACCAAGGCGACGAUCUGUAGCGGGUCUGAGAGGAUGAUCCGCCACACUGGGACUGAGACACGGCCCAGACUCCUACGGGAGGCAGCAGUGGGGAAUAUUGGACAAUGGGGGCAACCCUGAUCCAGCCAUGCCGCGUGUGUGAAGAAGGCCUUUUGGUUGUAAAGCACUUUAAGCGAGGAGGAGGCUCCCAGUAUUAAUACUACUGGAGAGUGGACGUUACUCGCAGAAUAAGCACCGGCUAACUCUGUGCCAGCAGCCGCGGUAAUACAGAGGGUGCAAGCGUUAAUCGGAUUUACUGGGCGUAAAGCGUGCGUAGGUGGCCAAUUAAGUCAAAUGUGAAAUCCCCGAGCUUAACUUGGGAAUUGCAUUCGAUACUGGUUGGCUAGAGUAUGGGAGAGGAUGGUAGAAUUCCAGGUGUAGCGGUGAAAUGCGUAGAGAUCUGGAGGAAUACCGAUGGCGAAGGCAGCCAUCUGGCCUAAUACUGACACUGAGGUACGAAAGCAUGGGGAGCAAACAGGAUUAGAUACCCUGGUAGUCCAUGCCGUAAACGAUGUCUACUAGCCGUUGGGGUCUUUGAGACUUUAGUGGCGCAGCUAACGCGAUAAGUAGACCGCCUGGGGAGUACGGUCGCAAGACUAAAACUCAAAUGAAUUGACGGGGGCCCGCACAAGCGGUGGAGCAUGUGGUUUAAUUCGAUGCAACGCGAA
rnacentral:rRNA from 1 species